CCGGUAUUUCCAGCACUCAGGAAGGACUGC
rnacentral:piRNA from 1 species